rnacentral:rRNA from 1 species
AUUGAACGCUGGCGGCAUGCCUUACACAUGCAAGUCGAACGGUAACAGGUCUUCGGAUGCUGACGAGUGGCGAACGGGUGAGUAAUGCAUCGGAACGUGCCCAGUAGUGGGGGAUAGCCCGGCGAAAGCCGGAUUAAUACCGCAUACGACCUGAGGGUGAAAGGGGGGGAUCGCAAGACCUCUCGCUAUUGGAGCGGCCGAUGUCAGAUUAGCUAGUUGGUGGGGUAAAGGCCUACCAAGGCAACGAUCUGUAGUUGGUCUGAGAGGACGACCAGCCACACUGGGACUGAGACACGGCCCAGACUCCUACGGGAGGCAGCAGUGGGGAAUUUUGGACAAUGGGCGCAAGCCUGAUCCAGCAAUGCCGCGUGCAGGAAGAAGGCCUUCGGGUUGUAAACUGCUUUUGUACGGAACGAAACGGUCUGGGUUAAUACCCUGGGCUAAUGACGGUACCGUAAGAAUAAGCACCGGCUAACUACGUGCCAGCCGCCGCGGUAAAAC